GACGAACGCUGGCGGCGUGCUUAACACUUGCAAGUCGAACGGUGAAGCGCCUUCCUUUUUGGUGGGUGUGGAUGAGUGGCGAACGGGUGAGUAACACGUGAGUAACCUGCCCCCUUCUUCUGGAUAACCGCAUGAAAGUGUGGCUAAUACGGGAUAUUCUGGGUCUGUCGCAUGAUGGGUCUGGGAAAGAUAUUGUUUCGGUGGGGGAUGGGCUCGCGGCCUAUCAGCUUGUUGGUGGGGUGAUGGCCUACCAAGGCGGUGACGGGUAGCCGGCCUGAGAGGGUGGACGGUCACACUGGGACUGAGACACGGCCCAGACUCCUACGGGAGGCAGCAGUGGGGAAUAGUGCACAAUGGGCGCAAGCCUGAUGCAGCGACGCCGCGUGAGGGAUGGAGGCCUUCGGGUUGUGAACCUCUUUCGCCAGUGAAGCAGGCCUGCCUCGUUUGUGGGUGGGUUGACGGUAGCUGGAUAAGAAGCGCCGGCUAACUACGUG
rnacentral:rRNA from 1 species